GAUGAACGCUGGCGGCGUGCCUAAUACAUGCAAGUAGAACGCUGAAGCUUGGUUCUUGCACCGAGCGGAUGAGUUGCGAACGGGUGAGUAACGCGUAGGUAACCUGCCUCUUAGCGGGGGAUAACUAUUGGAAACGAUAGCUAAUACCGCAUAAAAGUCGGUAUCGCAUGAUAUUGAUUUGAAAGGUGCAAAUGCAUCACUAAGAGAUGGACCUGCGUUGUAUUAGCUAGUUGGUGAGGUAACGGCUCACCAAGGCGACGAUACAUAGCCGACCUGAGAGGGGAGAGGGUCACCGGGGGAAUGGGGCCCGGCCCAGAGCCCUAAGUGCUGCGGCAGGAAGGAAUCUUCGGUAAUGGGGGCAAGGCUGACCGCGCAAGGACGCGUGCGUGGAGAAGGUUUUCGGCUUGUGAAGCGCUGUCGUAAGAGGAGCACGAGGGUGAGACUGGAAAGUUCAGGUUGUGACGGUAACGUAACAGAAAGGGCCGGCUAACUACGUG
rnacentral:rRNA from 1 species